GGCGGGUUCGUUCAUUGGUUAGGAUAGUAGGCUUUCAACCUGCUGAAACGGGUUCGAUUCCCGUACCCGCUGCCA
rnacentral:tRNA from 1 species